rnacentral:lncRNA from 1 species
AUGAAAAGUCCUCCAAGUGUGAUAACAUUUCUUGUUGACCAAGAGCAUCAUACUGGAGUUUACCUCUUCUAUAACCGGGCCCAAAAAACUGUCACUGCCUCUGUGAGCAUCCUGAAAAAUGAUGAACCAAGUUUACAACCAAAAUUUCCAAUUUUUCGGUUUCCUUCAUCAUUCUCUUCCCCCGUUGGAAUGGUGUUUCAUCCCCGAAGCCACUUUUUGUAUGCUUACGGCAAUCAGGUACGUACACAGGAAACUUCACAGUCUGGGUUAGGGUCAAAUCAUCCACCUACUCUAUGCUGCAUGACUGUACAUUAAGAACGGAGCUUCUCUAAUGACCUAGAGGUGGCAGUGGGAGGGAAGACAAUAUUUAUUGACUAUUUAUUGUAUAGUAAGCUUGGUGUCUAUUAUCAGUUUUUACCUUUCAGGU